rnacentral:rRNA from 1 species
UACGAAGGGGGCUAGCGUUGUUCGGAUUUACUGGGCGUAAAGCGCACGUAGGCGGAUCGAUCAGUCAGGGGUGAAAUCCCAGAGCUCAACUCUGGAACUGCCUUUGAUACUGUCGAUCUGGAGUAUGGAAGAGGUGAGUGGAAUUCCGAGUGUAGAGGUGAAAUUCGUAGAUAUUCGCAAGAACACCAGUGGCGAAGGCGGCUCACUGGCCCGGUACUGACGCUGAGGCACGAAAGCGUGGGGAGCAAACAGG